rnacentral:rRNA from 1 species
AUGAUCCUGCAAGCAAGCAAAAGGCCAAGAAUGGCAAUGUAUUCUUCCCUUCCUGUGUACGCCAUUCUUUUGCUUCUUUCUUGGACAUUCAAUUCGUUGCCUCUUUGUGCAUCCGAUAACCGGAUUGUCGCUGGCAAGCCGCUCUCCCCUGGCAAUGUCCUCGUCUCUCAAGAUGGGGUGUUUGCCCUGGGAUUCUUCUCCCCAUCCAACUCCACCAAGAACUAUCACUAUGUUGGCAUAUGGUACAAUCGCAUCCCGGAGCGCACGGUGGUAUGGGUUUCUAACCGUGCGGCUCCGAUCACCACUAACCUCUCCUCUGCAAAUCUUGUCGUCACCAACAACUCCGACAUAGUCUUGUCUGAUAGCAAUGGUCGUGUCCUCUGGACAACGAACAACAGCGUCAGCAUGAAUUCCAUCUCGGUGGAAGCAGUGUUGGACAACACUGGCAACUUCAUCCUUAGAUCACUAGCUGACAGUGCCAUACUAUGGCAAAGCUUCGACCACCCCACCGACACCCUCCUACCCGGCAUGAACAUCAGGCUCAGCCACAACACGCUUCCACUGCAGCACCUCGUCUCUUGGAAGGCCCAACAUGACCCAUCCCCCGGUGAGUUCUCCUACGGCGCAGACCCUAGCAGCCUCCUCCAGUGCUUCAUUUGGAAUGGCUCGAGACCACACCUGCGAAGCCCGGUGUGGACAAACUACCUCUACAUGGACAAAUUCAACAAGUCUGCCAUUUACAUGGCCUUACAUCACGCCGGCGAUGAGGUGUACAUGUCCUUCGGCAUGCCGACUGGUUCCUUCAUCCUGUUGGUCAGGAUGCAGAUUGACUACUUGGGCAAGGUAAAUAUACUAAGCUGGGACAGCAACAUGUCAGUAUGGAGAGCUCUGUAUGCAGAGCCUCAACAUGAGUGCAAUACGUACGGCUACUGCGGUCCUUAUGGUUACUGCGACAACACAGCAACCGUCCCAGUUUGCAAGUGCCUUGACGGUUUUGAGCCGAGGGAUGGUAAAGGAUGGAUCGCCGGUAGCUUCUCACAGGGAUGCCGACCGAAGGAGGUGCGAAGGUGCACCCAUGGAGAUGAUUUCCUAGCCUUUCCAGGCAUGAAGGUCCCUGACAAAUUCCUUCAUCUCCCGAGUAGAAGCUUUGACGAGUGCAGAGAGGAAUGUAGAAGCAAUUGCUCCUGCGUGGCAUAUGCUUACUCCAGGAUGAGCAACAUGGAUAUUGAUGGAGAUGACACAAGAUGCUUGGUAUGGAUGGGAGAUUUGAUCGACAUGGAGAACAACACUCAAGGAGGGGAGAACCUCUAUGUUCGGACUAGAAUAUUGCAAGGUGACAUGAAAAAGAUCACAACCCUAGAAAUUGUAUUAUCAGUUGUUUCAAGUUUUCUAGUACUCAUAUGCGUGGGGCUUAUUUGCAUCUAUGCUUUUAGAGGCAAUCGCCGAAGCAAGGUUUUCUGGGGAAGGUUGAUGCGACGGGAUACAGGAAAUUACAAUGAGCUCGCUGAUAGUAACACAGAGUUUCCCAUUUUUAACUUCAGGGUAAUUGCUGCCGCGACAAAUAAUUUCACUGAAUCCAACAUUCUUGGCAAAGGAGGCUUUGGCAAUGUUUAUAAGGGAAGGUUGGAAGAUGGUAGGGAAAUUGCUGUGAAAAGGCUUCGUGUAGGUUCUCUCCAAGGGGCAGUGGAGUUCAAAAAUGAAAUAGCUCUGAUUUCUAGGUUGCAACACAGAAACUUGGUCAAACUUCUAGGCUGCAGUAUUCAUGAAGAUGAAAAGCUUUUGAUUUAUGAAUAUCUACCUAACCGAAGUUUGGAUUACUUCAUUUUCAAUGGUACAAGAAAAUUGCUGCUAAACUGGUCCACAAGAUUUAAGAUAAUCAGGGGUGUAGCAAGGGGCCUUCUUUAUCUCCACCAAGAUUCCAGAUUGAUGAUGAUUCAUAGAGAUCUCAAAGCAAGUAACAUAUUGUUGGAUGCUGAGAUGAGCCCCAAAAUUUCUGAUUUUGGUACAGCUAGGCUCUUUGGUGUCCAUGAACAGGAAGGACAUACCAAUCAAGUUGUUGGAACAUUUGGAUACAUGUCACCGGAAUACGCAAUGGAAGGUAUCAUCUCUGUAAAAUCCGAUGUUUACAGCUUUGGCGUAUUACUUCUAGAGAUUGUAAGUGGCAUGAAGAUCGGCACCACAACCCCAAGCGCACAUGCACGCGCUCAUAACCUUAUAGAUUAUGCAUGGAGCUUAAGGAAGGAUGGGAAAAUGAUGGAUCUAGUCGACUCAUCUAUUGUAGAGGGUUGCUCUCUCGUUGAACCUCUACGAUGCAUACAUAUCGGACUCUUGUCGGUGCAGGACGACCCAGACGCUCGCCCCCUCAUGUCUUCGGUGAUAGCAAGCUUGGAUAACAAAGAUAUUGAGCUCCCACAGCCGAAAGAGCCUAUGUGCUUUGCACGUCGUAACUACGGAGCUGGCGAAAGCCAAGCAGAUGACCUGAGCCUCGAAAACCUCAAGGGGCGCUAG